CUUAACUCUGUGGACAUUAAAAUUAUCUUCGCCUCCUUCACAACACAGCAAAUUACCAGCAUAUGAGAGGCACUUUUUACCCAAAAAACAAUCAAUUAUUAGAAUUUAAAGGCAAUUAUUAUUUUUAUAGAGUGCAUCGAACAUGCUGAAAACACAAGGGAUGAGAAGACAAAAAUACGGUCGGCAAAUGUCUUGUGAGUGGCGAUUUCGUUUUGUGGGCAUCAAGAGUAUGUACCCCCCAAAGCUGCAUCUUGGGCAUUCAAAAUUAUUUAUCGCACCAAGACAGCGAAGGACCUGACAGCAAUGCCACUGCCAACUCAUGCUCAGACGCAUGACAAAUGAAAAAGACAAAGGGUAAAAAACUAUGCGUACUAAAUUACAUAUAUAGAAUCCCAAGAAGAGACGUGGAAUGAGAUGGAUUGAUGAGUUUUAAAUGCUUGGUUUAGCCUGUCCUUACUUAAGCCUUUCCCACCAGGGGACUAUGCGGGCGAGCAGAGCCUUUCGCAUUUCCAAUGCUAAAUUAUUACAGAGGCUCGAGUCCCCAGGCAGAGGAGCAAGCCCGCUUGCCCUACAAACACAUUCCAUGUCUGUUUUCUCUGACAUGUGAUAAUCUCUGGUGCUGGAUGAGCAUGUUGGAGAUGGAGAAAAGAUUAUACCACUUUUGAGCCCGUACGAUAUAUUUGUGAGCAUUACAGAGGAGGUGGUGUAGAUUUGAAUCUUAUCUAUAUGUGCUGGUGGAAACCAGUGGGCAAGUUAAUAUAUGGCUAAUCUGAUUCGAGUUAGAUAAAUGUAAGGGAGAUGAACUAAGAGUAGUUGUAAGGGUUUUUGGAAACUAUAGUAGUGUUUUUGGUUUGAAUAAAAAGUGGGCUCUUUUUUUCAUGGAGAAGAGUAAAUAUUCUGUUUCUGAUGGUUGAGGGUAAAAGUCUAUUGUACUCUUCUUUAUUGAGUAAUAGAGGGUUCUGGUAUUAUUUGAACCGAACUUGGUAUGUUAUUUUGGUCUUGAAUCAAUAUAUUUAACAAGAUCCGAUGGUUUUUUUAA